AUUGAACGCUGGCGGCAGGCCUAACACAUGCAAGUCGAGCGGAGCGGCGGACGGGUGAGUAAUGCCUAGGAAUCUGCCUGGUAGUGGGGGAUAACGUCCGGAAACGGGCGCUAAUACCGCAUACUAUCAGAUGAGCCUAGGUCGGAUUAGCUAGUUGGUGGGGUAAAGGCCUACCAAGGCGACGAUCCGUAACUGGUCUGAGAGGAUGAUCAGUCACACUGGAACUGAGACACGGUCCAGACUCCUACGGGAGGCAGCAGUGGGGAAUCUUCCGCAAUGGACGAAAGUCUGACGGAGCAACGCCGCGUGAGUGAUGACGGCCUUCGGGUUGUAAAGCUCUGUUAAUCGGGACGCGGUACCGGAAUAGAAAGCCACGGCUAACUACGUGCCAGCAGCCGCGGUAAUUC
rnacentral:rRNA from 1 species